rnacentral:lncRNA from 1 species
CUGAGCUCAGCAGCUUGGACCCACAGGCCCAGCCAAAGGCCCUCCUGGAAAAGAGCUUCACAGGCACACAAGCAACAGCCAGAGGCCUGCCCAGAUACCAUUAAUCCUCUUUUGUUGCCAGUUCAGGGACAGGUGGUGGAGUAUCAGAGUGUUCUAUCUCAUUUCCCUUUGGGGAAGGAAGCCUCCUCUUGUGAGCUGGGAGUGGCUCACCUCCUCUGUGCUCACGGGGCUGAUACAGCAUCCCAGAAGCCUCCGCUUGUGCACUGGAAGAAGCUCACCUCCUCUGUGCUCAUGGGAGUGGAGGUACAGCACCCCUGAAGCCUCCUCUUGUGCACUGGGAGUGGCUCACUUCCUCUGUGCUUGCAGGGGACACCAAAGAUUUUUCAACAAUAUUCUAGGAAAAGACAAUGAGGAUCACAACUCCAGGAAGACCAGCAGAAUGAAUCCAUUAGGCAUGACAAGAAAUUAAAUGCAAAGGGGAAGAAGCCAACAAAAACAAAAAGUCAUGACAAAGAUAAGUCAGCACAUAGCAGUUAAAACCAUCAAUGCUAACGGUCUUAAUUCACCAAUCAAAAGAAAUAGACUGACAGAAUGGUUCAAGAAGCAAGAUCCAACAAUAUGCUGCAUGUAAGAAACACAUUGAAUUCAAAAAGACAUUCAUAGACUGAAAGCUAAAGGGUGGAAAACAAUACUCUAUGAGACAGAAACCUGAAAAACAGCAGGAGUAGCUAUCCUGUUUGCAGUAAAAAUGGAUUUCAAACUAAUACUGAUUAAGAGAGAUAAAGGACAGUACAUUCUUGUAAAGGGAACAAUUCAAGAGGAAGAGACAAUCAUAAAUAUAUAUUCACCAAAUACUAGUGUGCCCAACUAAAUAAAACAAAUACUAAUGGACAUAUAAAAUCAAAUAAGCACUAAUACAAUAGUUGUGGGGACCUUAAUACCCCACUUUCACAAAUAGAUAGAUCAACUAGACAGAAAAUAAACAAUGAAAUACUAGAACUCAAACUCUUGAACAGAUGAAUUUAACCGAUGUUUACGGAGUGUUCCACCCCACAAAAUCAGAAUACACAUUCUUUUCAGCUGCACAUGGGUCAUUCUUCAAAACAGACUACAUGCUUGCUCAUAGAACAUGUUUAAGUACGUGCAAAG